rnacentral:rRNA from 1 species
UACGUAGGUGGCAAGCGUUGUCCGGAAUUAUUGGGCGUAAAGCGCGCGCAGGCGGUCCUUUAAGUCUGAUGUGAAAGCCCACGGCUCAACCGUGGAGGGUCAUUGGAAACUGGGGGACUUGAGUGCAGGAGAGAAGAGUGGAAUUCCACGUGUAGCGGUGAAAUGCGUAGAGAUGUGGAGGAACACCAGUGGCGAAGGCGACUCUUGGCCUGUAACUGACGCUGAGGCGCGAAGCGUGGGAGCAAACAG